UGUGAAAGAAUAAUACAAUUUUAUCAAUGACUAUUUAAAAUGCAGUGGCCUGAAAUUAUUCAAUGUGAAAACAAUCCUGCAAUAAUAAAGUUUAUAUUUUCUGUAAGAUUUAAAUUGUUUUCAGAUUCAUGAUGCACAUGAAAUGAAUAAGGUCAUAUAAUGCAGUUGGUCCAUAAUUGAUCUGAACAUACAGUGGAUGGAUCUUCCAUCAGAUUACUUUGCCCUCUGAAUGAAUAUGGGCCCAAGAUUCAAGAUUCAAGAUUCAAGAUCUUUAUUAUCAAAUGCACAGCAAUAACAUUAAGCAGUCGCUGGCAGUGAAAUGCUUGAGUCACAGGCUCUCUUCUAGCAAUGCUCAAGUAAUUACAACCUAUAAAAUCAAAUAGAAAUAGAAUAAAAUUGAAUAAAAUAGAUAUCAUUACAGAAAGAUGAGACCAAGAGUUCUGCUUCUGCACAGGUGAGGGUUUUAUUAGCUGCUCGGUGAAGUCCUGAAUAUUUCAGCUUCAGCUUCAACAUCAUCAUAUUGUUUUAAAACUCAUGCUCCCUGUUCAUGUCUGAUCCUCAUCCGGCGACUCAGGACCAGCAUUACAUGUCCGUGUCCAGAUUUCCAGUUUUAUGCAUGACAUGGAUUUUAGAAAGGCCUCGGAUGAGAGGCCCUAUGAGAGAUAGUUCAUACUUGGUAUUUAUCUUUUAAAAAAAUGUCACAAACAAAUGAUUGCAAUACUGCAUGUGUACAUUUAAGAAGAAGCACACCAGUGUUUCUGUAGACCGAAUCUAUUCAUUUGUUUUAAAAUGUAUUUUAUUGUAAAAUAUAUGCACGAGCAGAUGUACGUCUUCAUACCGUAUAUAGUACAGGACUAGUUUUAUACAAGGAAAUAUAGUAUUCAUAGCAGAAACUACAGAAAGGCUGUGGUAAUAGUAAAAGUUAACUUGAAGAACUUCAGGUGAUGGCAGUAGUUCCUCUCUUUCUCUCUCUCUCUCUCGCUCGCUCUCUCUCUCCCUCUCUCUCACAGGUAAAGAAACAAAUGGUGAUGUGUAGUGACAUCAUCGUAAAAGUUAUAUUUAUGGCCACUUUUAAAUAUAAUAUAUAUUACUAUAGUAUUAAUAUAUUAAUAUAAUAGCUUAUAAUAUAUUUAUAUACAUUUAUUAAUAUAAAUAUACAUAUACACAUACAAAUAUAUCAGGGUGUUUGAGUAUGAUGGUACAUGUGUGAGAGUAUACUGGUGUGUGUGUGUGAGACCAAGUAUGAAUUAUCUGUCACAGCCUCGAGUCACGAGCCAGUGUGAACCUUCAGUCAGAGGAAAUCAACUGAUCACUGGAAUUAUCUGCAGCAGUAUAACAGCUGUUAAUAACAUGUAGCCCUCACAUUACAUUAUCACUGUUCUUAAUCAUGUGACUUUAAAGAAGAAACCUCUGAUAACGUACCAUCAUUCAUUUGACCCCAAAAGAACGUGAUCAGAGAAGAACAUGAAUCUGAAAACAGGUCAAGACAGCAGCUCACAUUAAACGUUGUCAGGGAUGAAAUACAUUUGUAGUCCAGGUCAUACAAACCCAGCUGUUGUCAUGGUGCUUCUUUCCUCUCACAGGUCUGGAAGCUGUUUAAAGAUUCAGUGUGAAGUUGGUAAAAUGUGGAGGUGUCAUCCAGGCUGUUAAUGGAGCUGAUGCAGAGGACGAGUGUUGAAGCGGAACUGAAAUCAUGUAUCCGGCCUCGUCUGCGUGAGCGAAUGAAACAGCUUCAUGACUCAGUGUGCCGCCAUGUUGCUCUUGUUCACGAGCUGCGACUCAACACCGCUGCAGUGCUCCACCUCGCAUUUCCUCGCAGGUGCUCGGAUGUCAGGACCUGGACGCUUGGACGUUUGCUCCAUUUACAUUUCAGGGAGAGGAUCCUCUCAUCCAGAAUGACCUGCAGUCUGUGAGGAGGGUUUUACUGGGCUAGUCUUAGACUCAAACAGGACACGUCUUUCUCAUGUCCUGAUAUACAGCAGUUUCAACCUCAGUCUCUUGGUUAAAUAGCUAACUGUGGUUUCUCCCCCUUCAAUACUGAGUCAAUGUCUUAUUGUUAUAAAGUAAAACACUGUGGGACAGUUUUCAGGUUUUCACUGAGUGUUCUCCUUGUUAAAUGCAAUUAUUAUUCAUGACAUUUAAGAAAAGAUCGAUAGCAGCCGUGAUGAUCAGAGAGAGAAUUUCCUUCAUAUUUAUAAUUUAUGCUUUGGAAUAUAUUGAACAAUGUAAAAUGUUUGCAUUACCAUAAAUAAAACAUUUGGAGCACA